GAUGAACGCUGGCGGCGUGCCUAAUACAUGCAAGUCGAGCGAACAGACGAGGAGCUUGCUCCUCUGACGUUAGCGGCGGACGGGUGAGUAACGCGUGGAUAACCUACCUAUAAGACUGGGAUAACUUCGGGAAACCGGAGCUAAUACCGGAUAAUAUAUUGAACCGCAUGGUUCAAUAGUGAAAGACGGUUUUGCUGUCACUUAUAGAUGGAUCCGCGCCGCAUUAGCUAGUUGGUAAGGUAACGGCUUACCAAGGCGACGAUGCGUAGCCGACCUGAGAGGGUGAUCGGCCACACUGGAACUGGGACACGGUCCAGACUCCUACGGGAGGCAGCAGUAGGGAAUCUUCCGCAAUGGGCGAAAGCCUGACGGAGCAACGCCGCGUGAGUGAUGAAGGUCUUCGGAUCGUAAAACUCUGUUAUUAGGGAAGAACAAAUGUGUAAGUAACUAUGCACGUCUUGACGGUACCUAAUCAGAAAGCCACGGCUAACUACGUG
rnacentral:rRNA from 1 species